rnacentral:rRNA from 1 species
ACUCAAAUGAAUAGACGGGGGCCCGCACAAGCAGUGGAGUAUGUGGUUUAAUUCGAAGCAACGCGAAGAACCUUACCAGGGCUUGACAUCCCGCUAACGAGACAGAGAUGUGUUAGGUGCCCUUCGGGGAAAGCGGAGACAGGUGGUGCAUGGUUGUCGUCAGCUCGUGUCGUGAGAUGUUGGGUUAAGUCCCGCAACGAGCGCAACCCUUACGGUUAGUUGCUACGCGAGAGCACUCUAGCCGGACUGCCGUUGACAAAACGGAGGAAGGUGGGGACGACGUCAAAUCAUCAUGCCCCUUACGCCCUGGGCUACACACGUACUACAAUGGCGGUUGACAACGGGUAGCGACAUAGCGAUAUGAAGCCAAUCCCUGAAAAGCCGUCUCAGUUCGGAUCGCAGGCUGAAACCCGCCUGCGUGAAGUCGGAAUUGCUAGUAAUCGCGGAUCAGCAUGCCGCGGUGAAUACGUUCCCGGGCCUUGUACACACCGCCCGU